rnacentral:rRNA from 1 species
AGUGAACGCUGGCGGCAGGCCUAACACAUGCAAGUCGAGCGGCAGCGGGUCCUUCGGGAUGCCGGCGAGCGGCGGACGGGUGAGGAAUGCAUCGGAAUCUGCCCUGUCGUGGGGGAUAACCUAGGGAAACUUAGGCUAAUACCGCAUACGACCCACGGGUGAAAGCGGGGGAUCGCAAGACCUCGCGCGAUAGGAUGAGCCGAUGUCCGAUUAGCUAGUUGGCGGGGGAAAGGCCCACCAAGGCGACGAUCGGUAGCUGGUCUGAGAGGAUGAUCAGCCACACUGGGAGUGAGACACGGCCCAGACUCCUACGGGAGGCAGCAGUGGGGAAUAUUGGACAAUGGGCGCAAGCCUGAUCCAGCCAUGCCGCGUGGGUGAAGAAGGCCUUCGGGUUGUAAAGCCCUUUUGUCCGGGAAGAAAUCGUCUGGGCUAAUACCCCGGGCGGAUGACGGUACCGGAAGAAUAAGCACCGGCUAACUUCGUG